rnacentral:tRNA from 1 species
GCGCCUAUAGCUCAGUUGGAUAGAGCACUGGUUUCCGGUACCAGGUGCAGGGGUUCGAAUCCUCUUAGGCGCG